AUACGGAGGGUGCAAGCGUUAAUCGGAAUUACUGGGCGUAAAGCGUACGUAGGCGGUUAUUUAAGUCAGAUGUGAAAGCCCCGGGCUUAACUUAGGAACUGCAUUUGAAACUGGGUAACUAGAGUUUAGUAGAGGGGAGUGGAAUUUCAGGUGUAGCGGUGAAAUGCGUAGAGAUCUGAAGGAACACCAGUGGCGAAGGCGACUCCCUGGACUAAAACUGACGCUGAGGUACGAAAGCGUGGGUAGCAAACAGGAUUAGAAACCCCAGUAGUCC
rnacentral:rRNA from 1 species